UGCCAGCCGCCGCGGUAAUACGGAGGGAGCUAGCGUUGUUCGGAAUUACUGGGCGUAAAGGGCGUGUAGGCGGUAUGGCAAGUUAAGAGUGAAAUCCCGGGGCUCAACCUCGGAACUGCUCUUAAUACUGCUAUACUAGAGUCUGAUAGAGGAUAGUGGAAUUCCUAGUGUAGAGGUGAAAUUCUUAGAUAUUAGGAGGAACAUCGGAGGCGAAGGCGGCUAUCUGGAGCAGUACUGACGCUGAGGCGCGAAAGCGUGGGGAGCAAACAGGAUUAGAUA
rnacentral:rRNA from 1 species